rnacentral:rRNA from 1 species
GACGAACGCUGGCGGCGCGCCUAACACAUGCAAGUCGAACGAGAGAGAGGGAGCUUGCUUCCUUGAUCGAGUGGCGAACGGGUGAGUAACGCGUGAGGAACCUGCCUCAAAGAGGGGGACAACAGUUGGAAACGACUGCUAAUACCGCAUAAGCCCACGACCCGGCAUCGGGAAGAGGGAAAAGGAGCAAUCCGCUUUGAGAUGGCCUCGCGUCCGAUUAGCUAGUUGGUGAGGUAACGGCCCACCAAGGCGACGAUCGGUAGCCGGACUGAGAGGUUGAACGGCCACAUUGGGACUGAGACACGGCCCAGACUCCUACGGGAGGCAGCAGUGGGGAAUAUUGCACAAUGGGGGAAACCCUGAUGCAGCGACGCCGCGUGGAGGAAGAAGGUCUUCGGAUUGUAAACUCCUGUUGUUGAGGAAGAUAAUGACGGUACUCAACAAGGAAGUGACGGCUAACUACGUGCCAGCAGCCGCGGUAAAACGUAGGUCACAAGCGUUGUCCGGAAUUACUGGGUGUAAAGGGAGCGCAGGCGGGCGAUCAAGUUGGAAGUGAAAUCCAUGGGCUCAACCUAUGAACUGCUUUCAAAACUGGUCGUCUUGAGUAGUGCAGAGGUAGGCGGAAUUCCCGGUGUAGCGGUGGAAUGCGUAGAUAUCGGGAGGAACACCAGUGGCGAAGGCGGCCUACUGGGCACCAACUGACGCUGAGGCUCGAAAGUGUGGGUAGCAAACAGGAUUAG